GCCGACCUGAGAAGGUGAUCGGCCACACUGGGACUGAGACACGGCCCAGAUUCCUACGGGAGGCAGCAGUAGGGAAUCUUCGGCAAUGGGGGCAACCCUGACCGAGCAACGCCGCGUGAGUGAAGAAGGUUUUCGGAUCGUAAAGCUCUGUUGUUAGAGAAGAAUGGAAGUAGGAGUGGAAAGUCUACUUCGUGACGGUAACUAACCAGAAAGGGACGGCUAACUACGUGCCAGCAGCCGCGGUAAUACGUAGGUCCCGAGCGUUGUCCGGAUUUAUUGGGCGUAAAGCGAGCGCAGGCGGUUCUAUAAGUCUGAAGUUAAAGGCAGUGGCUCAACCAUUGUUCGCUUUGGAAACUGUAGAACUUGAGUGCAGAAGGGGAGAGUGGAAUUCCAUGUGUAGCGGUGAAAUGCGUAGAUAUAUGGAGGAACACCGGUGGCGAAAGCGGCUCUCUGGUCUGUAACUGACGCUGAGGCUCGAAAGCGUGGGGAGCAAACAGGAUUAGAUACCCUGGUAGUCCACGCCGUAAACGAUGAGUGCUAGGUGUUAGGCCCUUUCCGGGGCUUAGUGCCGCAGCUAACGCAUUAAGCACUCCGCCUGGGGAGUACGACCGCAAGGUUGAAACUCAAAGGAAUUGACGGGGGCCCGCACAAGCGGUGGAGCAUGUGGUUUAAUUCGAAGCAACGCGAAGAACCUUACCAGGUCUUGACAUCCCGAUGCCCGCUCUAGAGAUAGAGUUUUACUUCGGUACAUCGGAGACAGGUGGUGCAUGGUUGUCGUCAGCUCGUGUCGUGAGAUGUUGGGUUAAGUCCCGCAACGAGCGCAACCCCUAUUGUUAGUUGCCAUCAUUCAGUUGGGCACUCUAGCAAGACUGCCGGUAAUAAACCGGAGGAAGGUGGGGAUGACGUCAAAUCAUCAUGCCCCUUAUGACCUGGGCUACACACGUGCUACAAUGGUUGGUACAACGAGUCGCAAGUCGGUGACGACAAGCUAAUCUCUUAAAGCCAAUCUCAGUUCGGAUUGUAGGCUGCAACUCGCCUACAUGAAGUCGGAAUCGCUAGUAAUCGCGGAUCAGCACGCCGCGGUGAAUACGUUCCCGGGCCUUGUACACACCGCCCGUCACACCACGAGAGUUUGUAACACCCGAAGUCGGUGAGGUAAC
rnacentral:rRNA from 1 species